rnacentral:rRNA from 1 species
GGGGAAUAUUGGACAAUGGGCGCAAGCCUGAUCCAGCCAUACCGCGUGGAUGAAGAAGGCCUUCGGGUUGUAAAGCCCUUUUGUUGGGAAAGAAAACUUGCGGGCUAAUACCCAGCAAGUCUGACGGUACCCAAAGAAUAAGCACCGGCUAACUUCGUGCCAGCAGCCGCGGUAAUACGAAGGGUGCAAGCGUUACUCGGAAUUACUGGGCGUAAAGCGUGCGUAGGUGGUUGUUUAAGUCUGUCGUGAAAGCCCUGGGCUCAACCUGGGAAUUGCGAUGGAUACUGGGCGACUAGAGUGUGGUAGAGGAUAGUGGAAUUUCCGGUGUAGCAGUGAAAUGCGUAGAGAUCGGAAGGAACAUCUGUGGCGAAGGCGACUAUCUGGGCCAACACUGACACUGAGGCACGAAAGCGUGGGGAGCAAAC